UCCCUUCCAUCAUUCAUCCAGUUCUCCACUUCUUCUCCAAUAGCUGUUCAGCCGCUUCUCUUCUGCCAUUUCUACGGUGUUUCUUCGGUCGCUUCUUCUUCGGUCGCUUCUUCUUCGGUUUCAUCAAUCUCAACACAGAAUCGUUCUCAGCAAUCUAGCUCAUUCUUAACAGAUUUGGUUCGUUCUCAGCAGAUCCAGAACUAAGCCAAGAACAGCGCCAAUAGGAAGUCCUAUGAUGUAGUAACAUCCAGUAUUGAUGAAGGCAACUAACAACUGCCACCCGGCACCCACUGCCACCCCUGUAAAUGUCAAGAGAAAAACCUUUAGUCACUUGCAGAGGAAAAAGGAGAAUGGGUUCAUCCCUAGUGCUGUGGAUACUGGAGAGUUUAGUUGCAAUACCAUGGAGCACAGGUUGGAUGCUAUUGAGGAAGAUUGUUGCUGCCAAAAAGUAACCAAGCUUUGAUGCCUCCUUCAUGACUGCUGGUUUACCAGUGAACACUUUUGGAAAGUCAUUCUUGGUUACCAGAAUCAAUGCUGUGAAUACAACUCCAAUUAUUGUUGAAGUUAAAACGGUCACCACCACUGAGAAUUUUGCUACUUUAGGAUUUCCAGCUCCAAGCUCAUUUGAUACUCUCACACUGCAAGCAAGUCAAGUUGAAUUAAAAUCCCCAAACCAUGUUUCUAAGUUGGAUUAAAUCUGUUUUCUGCUAUAUGCUCCAGGACAGAAGCAACUAACCUUAUGGCUGCAUUGAAACCAAGAGCAAUCAUCAGAGCCCACAGUUGCAGGUUCAUGCUGCAAUUAAGAAGAAAUAUGAGAUGAUAAGUAGAAUACAGAAAUCACAUUUUUAGCUGGACUAAUUUGAUAAAUAGGAACAGAACUCUUACCAGAUGGAAACGGCAUCUACUGCAAUUUCUGGAUUGUCUAACCAUCCCACCAUAAGAAUCACAGCUGUAAAAUACCAUAACUCCAAGCUGGCAUUGCCAAGAAGAGAAGAAAAGUGAAAUCCUAAACAUGGAUUUUGCAAAAAUAAAAUUUGAAAACUAACCAUAACAUUACAGCUUAUGCAUUUUCGUAUUUGGCCUGAUAGGUUGGAAACUGAUAGGUUGGUAUUUUGCCUGCAAUUGAAAAGGAUCAAAGUUGGUGGAAAAGAGCUUUGAAGUUUGCUGCAAAGAGAAGGACUAUUGCUACUUCUGGAGGAAAAAGCUAUUAGCAAAAUGGGAUCAGAUCGGAGAUGGAUGUAUGCUAGGUUAAAAGAUGGCCUAUUGACCUCAGAAUUCAUAGAAGGUAUUGAACAAUUUAUAACAUUUGCUAAGCAACAUCCAGAGUGGAUGGAUGGGGAUAAACUGAAGUGUCCAUGUAAUCAUCGAAAGUGUCAGAAUCGUAAUUAUGUUGAUGAGAAUACAAUUCGAUUACAUUUGAUGAAGCAUGGAUUCGUGCCAUAUUAUUAUAAAUGGAUUCUACAUGGGGAA